GGGCCUGUAGCUCAGUGGAUAGAGCGGCACCCUCCUAAGGUGUAGGUCGGCCGUUCGAAUCGGCCCAGGCUCGCCA
rnacentral:tRNA from 1 species